GGAGGGAUGGCCGAGCGGCCGAAGGCGCCGGUCUUGAAAACCGGAGAACCGCAAGGUUCCGUGGGUUCGAAUCCCACUCCCUCCGCCA
rnacentral:tRNA from 1 species